rnacentral:lncRNA from 1 species
GAGUUUUCCUGCCCCCUAACUUCCCCCUUCCCCACCUCCGGCCUCAGUCGCACCGAGGUUCCUGAGGAGACGGCACCACCACAACUCAACGCGCGGGAAGAGCGCCAGAACGCCCGCGCAGCCCGUACAGCUGCAACCCCGCCGCUGGGCGCCGCGCCUCUCCGCUCGGCCUGCCGGUGGGGCUGGCAGCUCGGCCGAAGCCCCGACGGGCCGGGCACAGGCCGGGACCCCGCACCGCCGGGACCCCCGCCCCCGGGGCUCCGCACCUACCCCAGGUCCUCCAGCGACUCCAGCACGUCGCUCUCCAGCAGCUCGAACUCCAUCCUGCGGCGGGGAGCGGGUGGGGGGAAACCUGCGCGACAGCCGAACAACGGCGGGACUCAGCGCCCCGUUACCCGCAGCAGACCCGUUAACCGCCCAGCCCUGACCCCGUUCCCUUCCCCUCUAGAGCAACAACGGCCGCGCCCUGCAGCGAGGUUCAACACUGCAGCUGAAGACUUGUGACACUUCAUUGAUGCAAGGGUUGUGUUCAGCCUCUUUAUGCAGCUGAAUGCAGGGGCCACAUCCUGGAGAAACUGACCUUCUCAAGGCCAAAGCCUGUUACUGGAAGGAUAUGUCUCAAUUUUCCACUAAGGACCUUCAUCCCGGUCCGCCAGAGAUGGAAACAUCACCAACACCAUCCUCUUCCUAUUUGCACAAGUGCUGUUUUCUGGCCAUCUGUAUACUAUCAGCAAAAACAUAAGCUCAUUUUCUAGAGUAGCUGGAUCUCUUCUGCUCUCCAGCUUUGGUUACUAAAGGUAGGGAUAAAAGUACUUGCAAUCUCUUCUAAGACAGGGUGUUUGAAUCCACCCUCACGUUACUCCUCUACUAAAGGAUAUCAGUACUAUGAAAAUUAGUUUACAAAACAGCCUCUGCAGCAGCAAAUUAAUGCAACAGCAAGCAGAGACUAGACCAUUCAAUACUUCAGAUUAUACAGAUGGGCAAGUCUUACUAGGCACUGCUGCUAGGAAUCAUGUUAGCAUGACAUGGAGCUUGUGUAGGGAAUACAACUAUUUCUGAAGUGCUGUCUUUCUCUGAACAACAGCAGCAAACUAGUUUGUGUUUUCUCAUCACAGUGAUAAAAUAGGAUGGGUGUAUCUGUACACGGUAAAGAAAUUUACCACACAUUUUGUUCUAGGAUAAUUAAUCACUAUGAUAAAUCUGCAAAAAGUCAGGCUGUCUGUUGUGUUUAUUCUUUUACAUACUUGAUAGCUCCUGCUAGGACAUUCUUGUUGGUGAAACACAGCAGUAUCUCUCUCAGAUAGAGUAAUUGUGGAAAGGGCUAACAAGACUUCUGUGAACAUAUGAGAAAAAAAGUUUGCAUGAGCAACUUAACAUGGUUGCUCAGUUGCAAAAUAACAGUAAGAUUCCAGAUAGAGUACUGAGGCAGUUUUAAAAAGCCUUUUUCCCUCCUUUGAG